CGGGAAGUAGCUCAGUUGGUAGAGCACUUGGUUUGGGACCAAGGGGUCGCAGGUUCGAAUCCUGUCUUCCCGA
rnacentral:tRNA from 1 species